AGAGUUUGAUCAUGGCUCAGGAUGAACGCUAGCGGCAGGCCUAAUACAUGCAAGUCGAGGGGUAACAUGAGAGCUUGCUCUUGAUGACGACCGGCGGACGGGUGCGUAACGCGUAUGCAACCUACCCACAACAGGGGGAUAGCCCGGAGAAAUUCGGAUUAAUACCCCAUAAUGCAGGGGUACCGCCUGGUACUAUUUGCUAAAGAUUUAUCGGUUGUGGAUGGGCAUGCGUCUGAUUAGUUAGUUGGUGAGGUAACGGCUCACCAAGACCACGAUCAGUAGGGGGUCUGAGAGGAUGAUCCCCCACACUGGCACUGAGAUACGGGCCAGACUCCUACGGGAGGCAGCAGUAGGGAAUAUUGGGCAAUGGGCGAGAGCCUGACCCAGCCAUGCCGCGUGAAGGAUGAAGGCCUUCUGGGUUGUAAACUUCUUUUAUACAGGAAGAAAAAGGUCAUGCGUGACCAAUUGACGGUACUGUAUGAAUAAGCACCGGCUAACUCCGUGCCAGCAGCCGCGGUAAUACGGAGGGUGCAAGCGUUGUCCGGAUUUAUUGGGUUUAAAGGGUGCGUAGGCGGUACGCUAAGUCAGUGGUGAAAUCCCGCAGCUCAACUGCGGAACUGCCAUUGAUACUGGCGUACUUGAGUACAGACGAGGUAGGCGGAAUUUAUGGUAGCGGUGAAAUGCAUAGAUACCAUAAAGAACACCGAUAGCGAAGGCAGCUUACUAGACUGUAACUGACGCUGAGGCACGAAAGCGUGGGGAGCGAACAGGAUUAGAUACCCUAGUAGUCC
rnacentral:rRNA from 1 species